rnacentral:rRNA from 1 species
GAUGAACGCUGGCGGCGUGCCUAAUACAUGCAAGUAGAACGCAGUUGCGAACGGGCGAGUAACGGGUAGGUGACAUCCUGCCAGCGGGGGAUAACUAUUGGAAACGAUAGCUAAUACAGCAUACUACAAAAUGGAGCUGCGUUGUAUUAGUUAGUUGGUGGGGUAACGGCACACCAAGGCAACGAUACAUAGCCGACCUGCGCGGGUGAGCGGCCACACUGGGACUGGGACACGGCCCAGACUCCUACGGGUAGCAGCAGUAGGGAAUCUUCGGCAAUGGACGGAAGUCUGACCAAGCAACGCCGCGUGAGUGAAGAAGGUUUUCGGAUCGUAAAGCGCUGUUGUAAGAGAAGCGGUAUCUUACCAGAAAGGGCCGGCUAACUACGUGCCAGCCGCCGCGGUAAUUC